rnacentral:hammerhead_ribozyme from 1 species
AUCCAGCUGACAAGUCUCAAACAGGACGAAACUCACGUCCUGGAU